UACGUAGGGCGCAAGCGUUGUCUGGAAUUAUUGGGCGUAAAGGGCGCGUAGGCGGCCACGCACGUCCGUUGUGAAAUCGCCCGGCUCAACUGGGCGGGGUCAGCGGAUACGGUGUGGCUAGAGCAAGCUAGGGGGCAAUGGAAUUCCCGGUGUAGUGGUGGAAUGCGUAGAUAUCGGGAGGAACACCAGUGGCGAAGGCGGUUGCCUGGAGCUUUGCUGACGCUGAUGCGCGAAAGCGUGGGGAGCGAUCCGG
rnacentral:rRNA from 1 species